rnacentral:rRNA from 1 species
GAUGAACGCUGGCGGCGUGCCUAAUACAUGCAAGUCGAGCGAACAGACGAGGAGCUUGCUCCUCUGACGUUAGCGGCGGACGGGUGAGUAACACGUGGAUAACCUACCUAUAAGACUGGGAUAACUUCGGGAAACCGGAGCUAAUACCGGAUAAUAUAUUGAACCGCAUGGUUCAAUAGUGAAAGACGGUUUUGCUGUCACUUAUAGAUGGAUCCGCGCCGCAUUAGCUAGUUGGUAAGGUAACGGCUUACCAAGGCAACGAUGCGUAGCCGACCUGAGAGAGUGAUCGGCCACCCUGGAAAUGGGACAAGGUCCAGACUCCUACUGGAGCCAGCAGUAGAGAAUCUUCCGCAACGGGCGAAAGGCUGACGGAGCAACGCCGGAUGGGUGAUCAAAGUCAUCGGAUCGUAAGACUCUAUUAUUAGGGAAGAACAAAUGUGUAAGUAACUAUGCACAUAUUGACGGUACCUGAUCAGAAAGCCACGGCUAACUACGUG